rnacentral:rRNA from 1 species
GACGAACGCUAGCGGCGUGCUUAACACAUGCAAGUCGAACGGAAAGGCCCCUUUGGGGGUACUCGAGUGGCGAACGGGUGAGUAACACGUGAGUAACCUGCCCUUGACUUCGGGAUAACUUCAGGAAACUGGGGCUAAUACCGGAUAGGAAUCCUUGCUGCAUGGUGGGGGUUGGAAAGCUUCGGCGGUUUUGGAUGGACUCGCGGCUUAUCAGCUUGUUGGUGGGGUAGUGGCUUACCAAGGCUUUGACGGGUAGCCGGCCUGAGAGGGCGACCGGCCACAUUGGGACUGAGAUACGGCCCAGACUCCUACGGGAGGCAGCAGUGGGGAAUAUUGCACAAUGGGCGGAAGCCUGAUGCAGCAACGCCGCGUGCGGGAUGACGGCCUUCGGGUUGUAAACCGCUUUCAGCAGGGGCGAAGCUUGUGGUGACGGUACCUGCAGAAGAAGCACCGGCUAACUACGUG